rnacentral:rRNA from 1 species
CUGGUUGAUCCUGCCAGAGGUCACUGCUAUCGGGGUUCGAUUAAGCCAUGCGAGUCGAGAGGGUUCAGACCCUCGGCGGACUGCUCAGUAACACGUGGAUAACCUGCCCUAAGGUAGAGCAUAACCCCGGGAAACUGGGGAUAAUACUCCAUAGGUUAGAGAUACUGGAAUGUUCUUUAAUCGAAAGUUCCGGCGCCUUAGGAUGGAUCUGCGGCCGAUUAGGUAGUUGUUGGGGUAACGGCCCAACAAGCCUGUAAUCGGUACGGGUUGUGGGAGCAAGAGCCCGGAGAUGGAAUCUGAGACACGAUUCCAGGCCCUACGGGGCGCAGCAGGCGCGAAAACUUUACAAUGCAGGAAACUGUGGUAAGGGAACCCCGAGUGCCCGUAUACGCGGGCUGUCCGGGUGUAUAAAAAGCAUCUGAAGAAAGGGCCGGGCAAGACCGGUGCCAGCCGCCGCGGUAAUACCGGCGGCUCGAGUGGUGACCACUUUUAUUGGGCUUAAAGCGUUCGUAGCUGGACUCUUAAGUCUCUUGGGAAAUCCCGCGGCUCAACCGUGGGGCGUUUAAGAGAUACUGGGAGUCUAGGAACCGGGAGAGGUAAGAGGUACUUCGGGGGUAGAAGUGAAAUUCUGUAAUCCUCGAGGGACCACCGAUGGCGAAUGCAUCUUACCAGAACGGCUUCGACAGUGAGGAACGAAAGCUGGGGGAGCGAACGGGAUUAGAUACCCCGGUAGUCCCAGCCGUAAACGAUGCGCGUUAGGUGUACUGGUGACCACGAGUCACUGGGGUGCCGAAGGGAAACCGUGAAACGUGCCGCCUGGGAAGUACGGUCGCAAGGCUGAAACUUAAAGGAAUUGGCGGGGGAGCACCAC